AUGAGGGCUCCUGCUCAUCUCCUGGGGCUGCUGCUGCUCUGGAUCCCAGGUUCCAGAUGUGACAUCCAGAUGACCCAGUCUCUAUCUCAGACUGUUUCACCAGGAGGCACAGUCACCAUCAAAUGUCAAGCCAGUCAGAGCAUUAACAAUGCAUUAAACUGGUAUCAGCAAAAACCAGGGAAAUCUCCUAAGCUCCUGAUCUAUAGUACAACUAAUUUGGAAGAUGGGGUCCCAUCGAGGUUCAGUGGCAGUGGGUAUGGGAGAGAUUUUACCCUCACCAUCAGCAGUGUGGAGCCAGAAGAUAUUGGAACUUAUUAUUGCCAACACUACUACGAUUCAGGCUCCCUCUCCUCAGAUGUCUGGCACUUAAAUGGGGUUUGUGAGCAGUAUGCUACCAUUUGCUUAAUGGCAAAUAAGACCUGGUGCAUCUCUGGAUCUGGGGCAGAUAGCAUCAUUCACAAAGGUGGUAAACAUACUUCUACCAUGUUGGAAAAGGUGGAGUCAACAGGAUCCAGUGGGGUUAUUAUGAUAACCCAGGAUGUACUCUCCAUACCUGUCACUCCUGGAGAGUCAGCUUCCAUCCCAUGGAGUUCUAGUAUUGGAGCAAUUAACCCCUGA